GUGCUUGCUUCGGCAGCACAUAUACUAAAAGUGGAAUGAUACAGAGAAGAUUAGCAUGGCCCCUGUGCAAGGUUGACACGCACUUCGUGAAGCGUUCCAUGCUUUU
rfam:Pteropus alecto contig91508, whole genome shotgun sequence.